rnacentral:rRNA from 1 species
GAUUAAGUUAUUAAGGGCGCACGGUGGAUGCCUUGGCACUAGAAGCCGAUGAAGGACGUUACUAACGACGAUAUGCUUUGGGGAGCUGUAAGUAAGCUUUGAUCCAGAGAUUUCCGAAUGGGGAAACCCAGCAUGAGUUAUGUCAUGUUAUCGAUAUGUGAAUACAUAGCAUAUCAGAAGGCACACCCGGAGAACUGAAACAUCUUAGUACCCGGAGGAAGAGAAAGAAAAUUCGAUUCCCUUAGUAGCGGCGAGCGAAACGGGAAGAGCCCAAACCAACAAGCUUGCUUGUUGGGGUUGUAGGACACUCUAUACGGAGUUACAAAGGACGACAUUAGACGAAUCAUCUGGAAAGAUGAAUCAAAGAAGGUAAUAAUCCUGUAGUCGAAAAUGUUGUCUCUCUUGAGUGGAUCCUGAGUACGACGGAGCACGUGAAAUUCCGUCGGAAUCUGGGAGGACCAUCUCCUAAGGCUAAAUACUCUCUAGUGACCGAUAGUGAACCAGUACCGUGAGGGAAAGGUGAAAAGCACCCCGGAAGGGGAGUGAAAUAGAACCUGAAACCGUGUGCUUACAAGUAGUCAGAGCCCGUUAAUGGGUGAUGGCGUGCCUUUUGUAGAAUGAACCGGCGAGUUACGAUUUGAUGCAAGGUUAAGCAGUAAAUGUGGAGCCGUAGCGAAAGCGAGUCUGAAUAGGGCGUUUAGUAUUUGGUCGUAGACCCGAAACCAGGUGAUCUACCCUUGGUCAGGUUGAAGUUCAGGUAACACUGAAUGGAGGACCGAACCGACUUACGUUGAAAAGUGAGCGGAUGAACUGAGGGUAGCGGAGAAAUUCCAAUCGAACCUGGAGAUAGCUGGUUCUCUCCGAAAUAGCUUUAGGGCUAGCCUCAAGUGAUGAUUAUUGGAGGUAGAGCACUGUUUGGACGAGGGGCCCCUCUCGGGUUACCGAAUUCAGACAAACUCCGAAUGCCAAUUAAUUUAACUUGGGAGUCAGAACAUGGGUGAUAAGGUCCGUGUUCGAAAGGGAAACAGCCCAGACCACCAGCUAAGGUCCCAAAAUAUAUGUUAAGUGGAAAAGGAUGUGGCGUUGCCCAGACAACUAGGAUGUUGGCUUAGAAGCAGCCAUCAUUUAAAGAGUGCGUAAUAGCUCACUAGUCGAGUGACACUGCGCCGAAAAUGUACCUAGGCUAAACAUAUUACCGAAGCUGUGGAUUGUCCUUUGGACAAUGGUAGGAGAGCGUUCUAAGGGCGUUGAAGCAUGAUCGUAAGGACAUGUGGAGCGCUUAGAAGUGAGAAUGCCGGUGUGAGUAGCGAAAGACGGGUGAGAAUCCCGUCCACCGAUUGACUAAGGUUUCCAGAGGAAGGCUCGUCCGCUCUGGGUUAGUCGGGUCCUAAGCUGAGGCCGACAGGCGUAGGCGAUGGAUAACAGGUUGAUAUUCCUGUACCACCUAUAAUCGUUUUAAUCGAUGGGGGGACGCAGUAGGAUAGGCGAAGCGUGCGAUUGGAUUGCACGUCUAAGCAGUAAGGCUGAGUAUUAGGCAAAUCCGGUACUCGUUAAGGCUGAGCUGUGAUGGGGAGAAGACAUUGUGUCUUCGAGUCGUUGAUUUCACACUGCCGAGAAAAGCCUCUAGAUAGAAAAUAGGUGCCCGUACCGCAAACCGACACAGGUAGUCAAGAUGAGAAUUCUAAGGUGAGCGAGCGAACUCUCGUUAAGGAACUCGGCAAAAUGACCCCGUAACUUCGGGAGAAGGGGUGCUCUUUAGGGUUAACGCCCAGAAGAGCCGCAGUGAAUAGGCCCAAGCGACUGUUUAUCAAAAACACAGGUCUCUGCUAAACCGUAAGGUGAUGUAUAGGGGCUGACGCCUGCCCGGUGCUGGAAGGUUAAGAGGAGUGGUUAGCUUCUGCGAAGCUACGAAUCGAAGCCCCAGUAAACGGCGGCCGUAACUAUAACGGUCCUAAGGUAGCGAAAUUCCUUGUCGGGUAAGUUCCGACCCGCACGAAAGGCGUAACGAUUUGGGCACUGUCUCAACGAGAGACUCGGUGAAAUCAUAGUACCUGUGAAGAUGCAGGUUACCCGCGACAGGACGGAAAGACCCCGUGGAGCUUUACUGUAGCCUGAUAUUGAAAUUCGGCACAGCUUGUACAGGAUAGGUAGGAGCCUUUGAAACGUGAGCGCUAGCUUACGUGGAGGCGCUGGUGGGAUACUACCCUAGCUGUGUUGGCUUUCUAACCCGCACCACUUAUCGUGGUGGGAGACAGUGUCAGGCGGGCAGUUUGACUGGGGCGGUCGCCUCCUAAAAGGUAACGGAGGCGCUCAAAGGUUCCCUCAGAAUGGUUGGAAAUCAUUCAUAGAGUGUAAAGGCAUAAGGGAGCUUGACUGCGAGACCUACAAGUCGAGCAGGGUCGAAAGACGGACUUAGUGAUCCGGUGGUUCCGCAUGGAAGGGCCAUCGCUCAACGGAUAAAAGCUACCCGGGGAUAACAGGCUUAUCUCCCCCAAGAGUUCACAUCGACGGGGAGGUUUGGCACCUCGAUGUCGGCUCAUCGCAUCCUGGGGCUGUAGUCGGUCCCAAGGGUUGGGCUGUUCGCCCAUUAAAGCGGUACGCGAGCUGGGUUCAGAACGUCGUGAGACAGUUCGGUCCCUAUCCGUCGUGGGCGUAGGAAAUUUGAGAGGAGCUGUCCUUAGUACGAGAGGACCGGGAUGGACAUACCUCUGGUGUACCAGUUGUCGUGCCAACGGCAUAGCUGGGUAGCUAUGUGUGGACGGGAUAAGUGCUGAAAGCAUCUAAGCAUGAAGCCCCCCUCAAGAUGAGAUUUCCCAACUUCGGUUAUAAGAUCCCUCAAAGAUGAUGAGGUUAAUAGGUUCGAGGUGGAAGCAUGGUGACAUGUGGAGCUGACGAAUACUAAUCGAUCGAAGACUUAAUCAA